CAGAGCUCACAGAAGUGAGGUGGGAGGAAGGAAAUACCAGCCACCUGGCUCAUGACACCUUAAGGGUAUCUCGUUGACUGGGUUGGGGCUGGCCAAGAGGCUGGGAGGAGACACAGCUGGGGCAGCUGAGCUGAAUUGACCGAGGCAAUAUUCCAAGCCAUAUAACAUCAUGCCCAUCAAUAAAACUGGAAUGCUGUCUUUCUAAAGCAGCCAUUACUCA